rnacentral:rRNA from 1 species
CCUACGGGGGGCUGCAGUAAGGAAUAUUGGUCAAUGGGCGCAAGCCUGAACCAGCCAUGCCGCGUGAAGGAUGACGGCCCUAUGGGUUGUAAACUUCUUUUGUACGGGAAAAAACCUCUGGUCGUGAAUCAGAGCUGAUGGUACCGUAAGAAUAAGCAUCGGCUAACUCCGUGCCAGCAGCCGCGGUCAUACGGAGGAUGCAAGCGCUUUCCGGUUUCAUUGGGUGUAAACGGAACGCAGGCGGAACAGUGAAAGCCUACAGCUUAACUGUAGAACUGCCAUUGAUACUGUUAUUCUUGAGUGUUGUUGAGGUAGGCGGAAUGUGUCAUGUAGCGGUGAAAUGCUUAGAUAUGACACAGAACACCGAUCGCGAAGGCAGCUUACCAAGCAACAACUGACGCUCAUGCACGAAAGCGUGGGGAUCAAACAGGAUUAGAUACCCUUGUAGUC